GAGGUGUAAGUGUGGUAACAUAUUUAGCUGACUGAUACUAAUAGGUCGAGGGCUUGACCAA
rnacentral:rRNA from 1 species